CUUCAGUGCCUCACCGAAUGACGUUUAGAUCUGCGCCUCAGGGAUUUUUAACUCCCCAGGAUGGGCCUUUCUACCCUGUGGCUCUGUAAGGUCUGGAUAUUCUGAGGGGUCUGUGGAAUUCUGCGGGUCUCUUUCUAUGUGGCUGCUUGUGGGGUUGAUCUCAACUAUGGGCGGGGCUGUAUUCCUGUCCCUUUGGAAAGUUCUGUGCUGUUUUCUGCUCUUUAGUCAUCUAGUAUCUUUUCCCACGUGAUGACUUUCAACAGCUUUUUUUUGGAUGUAAUUUAAUACUGUAUAAAGAGGAGACUUAGAAACAACUGUCUCAACAGGCUAAAGACGGACAGUUUUAGUAACAGCCACAGCCUCGUCUUCCUUCCUUAUCACUUGAAAUGGUCACUUACACUUCUGCCAGAUAACACCUGUGAAAGGCAGGGGUCUCCUUCCUCUGAAUGUGUUUACUGAUUUCCUGGAGGUCACCGGGUCGUUGUUCAGUAAGAACAAGAAAGAGCUUCUGCCAGUGUUUUCCACUCUCUUCGGAAGACAGAGGAUCUUUCUCCGGGGGCUACCAUGGACUCCCAGGGUUUAGAAUAUUCAGUUCCUCAGAUCCCUGUUUAUGGUAGAAUCAUAAGACCCUGCAGAAGAUUCGCAGACACAAGAAACAGUGGCACAGAGCAUGGCCCUUUUCCUUCGUGGAGAAGCGUGCACUACCCACUCUCAGAAACCUUAGAGAUUUCAGGGAAGUCUAGCUGA
rnacentral:lncRNA from 1 species